AAGUCGUAACAAGGUAACCGUAGGUGAACCUGCGGUUGGAUCAUUACGAAAAUCCAAAAUAUCCUCUGCUUGCGCUGUCUAGCUUUCACAGCAAAACAGCGCAGCAGAUGAUACACACCUUCUGUGAACCAUUGAAAUGUAUUUCGGAGAGGUCAAGUUAAAACAGCGUGUAGAGCAAGGUCGCUCAUUCGAGAGACCUCCUUUGCAUGUGGACCAUCCGAGAAGUACGCACAUACCCCAAUAUCUUAUCUUCUGUAUCUAGUCUUAUAAAAGAGAAACAAUGAGAAACAACUUUAGACAACGGAUCUCUUGGCUCUC
rnacentral:misc_RNA from 1 species